rnacentral:rRNA from 1 species
UACGUAGGGGGCAAGCGUUGUCCGGAAUUAUUGGGCGUAAAGCGCGCGCAGGCGGUUAAUUAAGUCAGGUGUGAAAGGCUACGGCUCAACCGUAGAGUUGCAUUUGAAACUGGUUAACUUGAGUGCAGGAGAGGUAAGUGGAAUUCCCGGUGUAGCGGUGGAAUGCGUAGAGAUCGGGAGGAACACCAGUGGCGAAGGCGGCUUACUGGCCUGCAACUGACGCUGAGGCGCGAAAGCGUGGGGAGCGAACAGG